CUUAGAGUUGUGAGCCCUUAAAAGGGACAGGAAUUGCUCACUCAGGGAGCUCGGCUCUUGGGACAGGAGUCUUGCCCAUGCCCCCGGCCAAAUAAAGCCGUUCCUUCUUUAACUCAGUGUCUGAGGAGUUUUGUCUGCAACUCAUCCUGCUACAUUUCUUGGUUCCCUGACCGGGAAGUGAGGUGAUUGGCGAUGGUCAAGGCAGCUCCUUAGGCGGCUUAAGCCUGCCCUAUGAAACAUCCCUGUGGGGGGACUCCAACCAGCCCGAGCAACGCGGACCCUGAGAGCGCUCCCCAGUAGGCAUUUGCCCCGGUGGGAAGCCUCGCCAGAGCAGUGUGCGGCAGGCCCCCAUGGAGGAUCAACGCAGUGGCCGAACACUGGGAAGGAAUGGGCACUUGGAGUCUGGACAUCUAAAACGUGAAUUUCCGGUAAACCAGCACCAGCCUGAAGAUCACAUUCUCAUCGAAAGGUGCAAAGAAGAAAAACUCGAGCCAGCCUGGGAAGAACCCUAUCUUGUGCUGCUAACCACCAAGGCUGCUGUUCAUACAGCAAAAAA